CAACUAGCUGUCUAGGGUUCCGUUAUUGACUGGUCCGAAAAAGGAGUGGUAUUUUACCCAGUUAAUAAGUCUGGUCCGAGAGAGAGCGUAUAGAAAUGGAUCAAGAAACCUUUUCUAUAUACACGGAAGGAUAAAAGCCUGGGAGAU
rnacentral:sRNA from 2 species